GGGUGCGGGGGCUUACCUUGCAGUCGAACGAUGAACCACUUCGGUGGGGAUUAGUGGCGAACGGGUGAGUAACACGUGGGCAAUCUGCCCUGCACUCUGGGACAAGCCCUGGAAACGGGGUCUAAUACCGGAUACUGACCCGCUUGGGCAUCCAAGCGGUUCGAAAGCUCCGGCGGUGCAGGAUGACCCCGCGGCCUAUCAGCUUGUUGGUGAGGUAAUGGCUCACCAAGGCGACGACGGGUAGCCGGCCUGAGAGGGCGACCGGCCACACUGGGACUGAGACACGGCCCAAACUCCUACGGGAGGCAGCAGUGGGGAAUAUUGCACAAUGGGCGAAAGCCUGAUGCAGCGACCCCGCGUGAGGGAUGACGGCCUUCGGGUUGUAAACCUCUUUCAGCAGGGAAAAAGCGAAAGUGACGGUACCUGCAAAAAAAGCGCCGGCUAACUACGUGCCAGCAGCCGCGGUAAUACGUAGGGCGCGAGCGUUGUCCGGAAUUAUUGGGCGUAAAGAGCUCGUAGGCGGCUUGUCACGUCGGUUGUGAAAGCCCGGGGCUUAACCCCGGGUCUGCAGUCGAUACGGGCAGGCUAGAGUUCGGUAGGGGAGAUCGGAAUUCCUGGUGUAUCGGUGAAAUGCGCAGAUAUCAGGAGGAACUCCGGUGGCGAAGGCGGAUCUCUGGGCCGAUACUGACGCUGAGGAGCGAAAGCGUGGGGAGCGAACAGGAUUAGAUACCCUGGUAGUCCACGCCGUACACGGUGGGCACUAGGUGUGGGCGACAUUCCACGUCUUCCGUGCCGCAGCUAACGCAUUAAGUGCCCCGCCUGGGAGUACGGCCGCAAGGCUAAACUCAAAGGAUUGACGGGGGCCCGCCAAGCGGCGGAGCAUGUGUCUUAAUUCGACGCAACGCGAAAACCUAACAAGGCUUGACAUACACGGAAAGCAUCAGAGAUGGUGCCCCCCUU
rnacentral:rRNA from 1 species